UUCCUAAACUUUAUCGAUUUCUCCUCCUCUUUUUUUUUUCCUUCUUCUCUUCUAACCCAAAAUUGAGAUCUGCGAAAUCAAAUCCAAAAUUUCGAAACCAAAACCCGUUUCUCCCAAAUCCUAAUCUGAUGAAUCAAAACCCAUCUUUCAUAAAUCAAACCAAAUCAUUGAUAACUCCAGUUUCGUUUCAAACCCUAGAUACAUAUGUGAUUUCUCCAUCAGAAACCCUAACAAACUAUUUUCUCAAUUCUUAUGAAUUUGAGUCUUGAGUUCCGCUAUUGUAUUGUAUUAAUUCUAUAGGGUUUAUUUUUGUUCAGUUUUCAUUCAGGAAUUUAUAAGUAGACAGAGUCAUUUAGGUUUAAGAUUUAUAGGUUUCUUAAUUUUUCGUUUGGGUGCUGUUUUGGUUUCUCUUCGUAUCCCUACCAGUGCUUUCUUCGUAUUCAUGACACAAAUUAGGGAAAAGCAUCCUAACAACAAAUCUGCCUCAGUUCUGGUGGAGAUAAGUUGAAAUCCUUGCCCGAUGUUGUAAGUAAAUUAGCCAGAAUUAAAUUUCUUACCUAUAACUGUUGUGUAUUUGUGAUUUGAUGCAGUUUUGUUUUUAAGUUUUUUUUAGGAAAAAGCUCCUUAUGUAGCCUAGGCAGAGAAAGGAUGGAGGGUUAAAUGCUGAUGAUGAUGAAGAAGAAGAAUCUGACAAAUCAAAGUCUGAAGUUAAUGAUGAAGAUGAGGAGGAAGAAGGAAGUGAUGAGAUUUGUUCAUACUUGAAUUAAAUCCCUAUUGUUCAUCAAUUUAAGCUUGGAUAUGAAUUGUUGUGUUAAUUUUUGUUCUCUUGAAUUCUGUUUGUAGGAGGAAGAUGAUGACUAGAUAGGAAGUACAUUAGAGAAGGAAGAAGAACUCGGAGAUGUCCAAAGAACAAAUCAGUCUAAUAGAACCUUUGUAUGGAAGGACUUGGUAUGAUAAUGUGCCACAUCCUAAACUUGUGGAAUAUAAGAAAGAUCAGAAUUGGGUGCGGAAAUGGCAGUUUCUGGCGGUUAUGUUGGUGAUUGUUUCUUGAGGAAUCUGAGAUGGAGAUGAAACUGCUAGUGUUGAUGAGAUGGUUUGUUUUUGAAGCUGUAUGUGGAUAAAAUGCAGAGAAACAGUGGGUUAUAUUUUUGCUGAUGCUUAGAGCUUGUGCUGAUGCAGUGGAUGUAUGAGAUGGAGAUGGUUGAGCAACAGAGAGGCCUUGAAAUGUGCUGUGCUUGAAUCUUGUUGUUAUCAACAGAAUGGAAUGUCUUGGUGAUGUGUAAACAAGGAAGAAGGUGUUGCAGUCGAAUGAAUGGGUUGAGCUGAUGUUGAGGAAUGAGCUGAAUUGAUGGUUGGUGUUUUGGUAUUGCGGGAAUGGAGUUGUGAGGUUCAAUGGCCUUGUACUUCACAGAAUAAAUUUCAGGAGCUGGAUGCUAGGGUCAGGAAGCUACAGCAAGUGUAGAUGAUGUUGCAGAACAAGAAAUUGUGAUGGACUCCAUAGCUAGUUCACAAAUAUUUACAAUAUCUUUUGAUGGAAAAAGGUAGCUCUAUGACAUAGUGCUACGUCAUUGAGCAUGCUUGAUUAUAAAUGAUAAUCUGGUUUAACCCAGUAUGACAUAUAUGAAGCUGAUGGGCUAAGCUGGAAGCAUCCACCUGUACGUGGAUGGAAAUGGACAUUACAUUCUCUGUAGUGCCCUCCGCUGAAGGUCAAUCACUUGCGGACGAAUAUUGCAGAAGUGCUCAAUACCUUGCGUAUUUUGGUGGAAAAGUUGGGUUACGCUAUGCCGAGAGUUGUGCUCGUGGUGGGAUCUGCUACUUAAACAGCAGCAUGGUAAGUUGGUUGACAAAGAAAAUCGGCUAACGGAGGGUCCCGUCACUAUAGGUGUAACUUCAGGUGCUUCUAUCCAAGAUAAGAAAAGAUGCUAUGAAGCUGGUAAUUUAUGGAUGGAUUGGUCGAUUACAUCAUGUCAUUGUGCCCAGCUGCAGCAAAAGAAUCGAGGUACCUUGUAGAGGCCAGUUGAAACUUGGGAAAGUCCUGUAGUGUGCCAACAUUCACACUCCCACCAUUUUCUUGUUUCUCUAAUCCUUAAAGCUAGGAUUAAGCUAGUACUGUGAGCAUAUUUGGAGUAACAACCGGAAACAAUAGCUUCAUAGCAAUAUUUCUUAUGUUCCGGAAUGGAAUUUCAUUGUAUUUUUUUCAAACUUAGUUUAUAUUGUUGUAAGGAUUAGUUAGUAUCUGAUCAAAUUGGGUCUUUUAGUUGAUCUACAAUGGUAUAUGAAGGUGCAGAAAUCUGCUGGAAUUUUCGUCGGAAUUUAUUUAUAUUUUAUUUGGAAUUAUCAUCGAAUUUUAUUUUUUU